rnacentral:rRNA from 1 species
UACAGAGGGUGCAAGCGUUGUUCGGAAUUACUGGGCGUAAAGCGUGCGUAGUCGGUAUUGAGAGUCGCGGGUGAAAUCCCAGGGCUUAACCCUGGAAUUGCCUCCGAGACUGAUGGACUCGAGUUCGGGAGAGGAGAGCGGAAUUCCCAGUGUAGAGGUGAAAUUCGUAGAUAUUGGGAAGAACACCGAUGGCGAAGGCAGGUCUCUGGGCAUUAACUGACGCUGAGGAGCGAAAGCAUGGGGAGCGAACAGG